rnacentral:rRNA from 1 species
AACGAACGCUGGCGGCAUGCCUAACACAUGCCAGUCGAACGAGACCUUCGGGUCUAGUGGCGCACGGGUGCGUAACGCGUGGGAACCUGCCCUUAGGUUCGGAAUAACUCCCCGAAAGGGGUGCUAAUACCGGAUAAUGUCUUCGGACCAAAGAUUUAUCGCCUUUGGAUGGGCCCGCGUUGGAUUAGCUAGUUGGUAGGGUAAAAGCCUACCAAGGCGACGAUCCAUAGCUGGUCUGAGAGGAUGAUCAGCCACACUGGGACUGAGACACGGCCCAGACUCCUACGGGAGGCAGCAGUGGGGAAUAUUGGACAAUGGGCGAAAGCCUGAUCCAGCAAUGCCGCGUGAGUGAUGAAGGCCUUAGGGUUGUAAAGCUCUUUUACCCGGGAUGAUAAUGACAGUACCAGGAGAAUAAGCUCCGGCUAACUCCGUG